rnacentral:rRNA from 1 species
GUGGGGAAUAUUCCGCAAUGGACGAAAGUCUGACGGAGCAACGCCGCGUGAGUGAUGAAGGUUUUCGGACUGUAAAGCUCUGUUGUUUAGGACGAAAGUGCCUGUUGCGAACAGUUACAGGUAUCGACGGUACUAAACGAGGAAGCCACGGCUAACUACGUGCCAGCAGCCGCGGUAAUACGUAGGUGGCAAGCGUUGUCCGGAAUUAUUGGGCGUAAAGAGCAUGUAGGCGGAGAUUUAAGUCUGUUGUGAAAAUGCGGGGCUCAACCCCGUAUUGCGAUGGAAACUGAAUUUCUUGAGUGCAGGAGAGGAAAGGGGAAUUCCCAGUGUAGCGGUGAAAUGCGUAGAUAUUGGGAGGAACACCAGUGGCGAAGGCGCCUUUCUGGACUGUGUCUGACGCUGAGAUGCGAAAGCCAGGGUAGCGAACGGGAUUAGAAACCCUGGUAGUCC